UACGUAGGAGGCGAGCGUUGUCCGGAAUCACUGGGUGUAAAGCGCGUGUAGGCGGCCUGCCAAGUCUGCUGUGAAAGCGCCUGGCUUAACCGGGCGAGGUCGGUGGAAACUGGCGGGCUGGAGGUCGGUAGAGGGGGGUGGAAUUCCCGGUGUAGUGGUGAAAUGCGUAGAGAUCGUAAGGAAGACCAGUGGCGAAGGCGAGUUUCUGGACAGUUACUGACGCUGAGGCACGAAGGCCAGGGGAGCAAACGGG
rnacentral:rRNA from 1 species